rnacentral:rRNA from 1 species
UACGAAGGGGGCUAGCGUUGUUCGGAAUUACUGGGCGUAAAGCGCGUGUAGGCGGGUCUUUAAGUCAGGGGUGAAAUGCCAAGGCUCAACCUUGGAACUGCCUUUGAUACUGGAGACCUUGAGUCCGGGAGAGGUGAGUGGAAUUGCGAGUGUAGAGGUGAAAUUCGUAGAUAUUCGGAAGAACACCAGUGGCGAAGGCGGCUCACUGGCCCGGUACUGACGCUGAUGUGCGAAAGCGUGGGGAGCAAACAGG